rnacentral:misc_RNA from 1 species
CUUCCUUCUCCAAGGCUUUGUUCUCCUUCGCUUUUAUCUCCUUAGCAAACUUAGCCAAGUCGUAAGCUCAACUGGCCUGGGCAUCUUCAAAUUCCUUCCGUAGCCGAGCUAUUAGCUCUUCAGAAGACUUCGCUUGUUGCUCUAAUUCUACAAUCCGACCAUUCGCAACUGAGAGCUGGUUCUUAGAAGCCAUGGCCUCCUGGACCGCCUUAGAGAUCUCCCUCCUUAGAAAGUUGACCUUCUGACCGACCAUGUGCUGGGUAGCGACGGCUUCCAUGCUCAGGCUCAUUGAUUGGUUGAGG